GCAUACUCUGGUGCCAAAUAACCUCUAAAACAGCAAAUGCAGAUAUUAAUACAGGAUACUAAAUGCUUGUUGACACAAACACAAAUGUGGAUGCACUCGUUUGCACGAGCACAUAAGAAAUGGAAUUUAAGAAUUAGGCUUGAAAAGAUGACGCACAUGUAAUCUUAAACAUUUAACAACAGCAAAACAGCACCAGAAUAUGAUACUAUGCUUUUAAAAGCAGCUUAUUGGAAAUUGGUACAUUAUUCAAGACCUAUAAGUUACAAUGACAACCAUACGUAAGAGAGGAGUAUCAACUACUCUAGACCUCCCAAUAGUAUAUUCUACACGAUUUCAACAAAAUCACCACUUCCUAUAACCUUAGUCCAAAAAGUAGUGCGGAGAGAGGAAAAAAAUCAGCUGCAAUGCAGUGAUAUCAGCUUUGUACAGGAUGAUGGAUUUGAGUUAUGCAAAUUCACCAUCCAAAUUUAUCACAAUUCCAAACAAAGAAAUGAUAUGGAAUGGAACAUUUUCUAUUAUAAUAUUCUCCAUGAAUGAUGAAACUAUAUUACAAUUUUAAAAAAAUGCACAAUUGUGACUGAUUGUCGCUGACAGCAUGCUGGAAAAAGAAUUUACAAAUCAAUGAAGACAACAGAAAGGGUGAAACUUACAUUGUUCCAGCCACACGUGUACU
rnacentral:misc_RNA from 1 species